GGGGAUGUACCGGUUUCGACGGGGGUACUUGUUACUCAAUAAGCGAGCAGUGAUCCCGCCUCUCACUUAAAACGGUGGAAACUUUUAAACAUAAACGCAGAAGAUAAUUUUGCAAUGGCUGCCUAAGGGCAACCCCGUUCACUGAGUUCUGUCUGACGGCAAGGAUGAACGGUCAAUAGUCGGACUGGCGUGAAACAACUCCCGUAGUUUUACGUAAGAUUAACGGGAUAGCAAAUCUUUGACCCGACAUCAGGUAAAAGAGGCGCGAAACAAAAAAUGAUGUCUGUGCUCGGAGAAAGUUGUUUACCAAUAUUUUCGGACAGGGGUUCGACUCCCCUCAUCUCCACCA
rnacentral:tmRNA from 1 species